rnacentral:rRNA from 1 species
CUCCCUUUCGGGGGAUGUCCUUAGUGGCGGACGGGUGAGGAACGCGUGGGGACCUGCCUUGGAGUGGGGAAUAACUGCUGGAAACGGCGGCUAAUACCGCAUACGCCCUUAGGGGGAAAGGCUUUGUGUCGCUCUGGGAUGGCCCCGCGUCCGAUUAGCUUGUUGGUUGGGUAACGGCUGACCAAGGCGACGAUCGGUAGCUGGUCUGAGAGGACGAUCAGCCACACUGGGACUGAGACACGGCCCAG